UACGUAGGGGGCAAGCGUUUAUCCGGAAUCAUUGGGCGUAAAGCGCGUGUAGGCGGUUCCGUAAGUCCGCUCUGAAAGCCCAGGGCUCAACCCUGGGAGGCGGGUGGAUACUACGGAACUGGAGUACGGAAGAGGAGAUUGGAAUUCCUGGUGUAGCGGUGAAAUGCGCAGAUAUCAGGAGGAACACCAACAGCGAAGGCAGAUCUCUGGGACGUUACUGACGCUGAGGAGCGAAAGCGUGGGGAGCGAACAGG
rnacentral:rRNA from 1 species